CGCUGGCGGCGUGCCUAACACAUGCAAGUCGAGCGGGGACAUGCGACGGAGUCGAAGUUUCGGAUGGAGACAAAGAUGUAUUGUCUAGCGGCGGACGGGUGAGUAACGCGUGAGCAACCUGUCCCUUACAGGGGGAUAACACAGCGAAAGUUGUACUAAUACCGCAUAAGACCACAGAGUGACAUCGCUCAGGGGUCAAAGGAGUAAUCCGGUAAGGGGUGGGCUCGCGUCCGAUUAGAUAGUUGGUGAGGUAACGGCCCACCAAGUCGACGAUCGGUAGCCGACCUGAGAGGGUGAUCGGCCACAUUGGGACUGAGACACGGCCCAAACUCCUACGGGAGGCAGCAGUGGGGAAUAUUGGGCAAAUGGGGGAAACCCUGACCCAGCAACGCCGCGUGAGGGAAGAAGGUUUUCGGAUCGUAAACCUCUGUCCUUGGUGAAGAGGAAGAGACGGUAGCCAAGGAGGAAGCCCCGGCUAACUACGUGCCAGCCGCGGC
rnacentral:rRNA from 1 species